rnacentral:rRNA from 1 species
AGGAUCAUUAUCGUACAACUGAGGUGCGAGGGCUGUCGCUGACCUUCAAAGGUUGUGCACGCUCAAGCACUCUCUUACAUCCAUCUCACCUUUGUGCAUCACCGCGUGGGUCCCCUUUGCAAAGGAGGGCUUGCGUUUUCACAUAAAACUUGAUACAGUGUAGAAUGUUUUAUUUGCGGUCACACGCAAUCAAUACAACUUUCAACAACGGAUCUCUUGGCUCUCGCAUCGAUGAAGAACGCAGCGAAAUGCGAUACGUAAUGUGAAUUGCAGAAUUCAGUGAAUCAUCGAAUCUUUGAACGCACCUUGCGCCCCUUGGCAUUCCGAGGGGCACACCCGUUUGAGUGUCGUGAAAUCAUCAAAAACCUUUCUCUUUGAUCGUCUUUGGUUGGGAGAAGGAUGUUUUUGGACUUGGAGGUUCCAUGCUUGCUUUCACUUUUGAAAAUGAGCUCCUCUUAAAUGAAUUAGUGGGGUCUGCUUUGCUGGUCCUUGACGUGAUAAGAUGUUUCUACGUUUUGGAUUUAGCACUGUCCCUUGGAUGCCCGCUCCUAACUGUCUCACAGACAAUGAUGGUGCUCUGGUCACCGCCAUCUACAUUGGUGGAGGAGGCUGGACCCACAAAAGAAAAA